rnacentral:rRNA from 1 species
AGAGUUUGAUCCUGGCUCAGGAUAAACGCUGGCGGCGCACAUAAGACAUGCAAGUCGAACGGAAGUCGUUGUAAAGAAAUUGACAUGGACAGAGAACUUGUUCGAAGAAAGUGAAGAUAGACUUACAACAAUGGCUUUAGUGGCGGACUGGUGAGUAACGCGUGAGCAACCUGCCUGUUAGAGGGGAAUAACAGUGAGAAAUCAUUGCUAAUACCGCAUAUGCCAUAAUUAUCACAUGAUGAUAGUGGGAAAGGAGCAAUCCGCUAACAGAUGGGCUCGCGUCUGAUUAGAUAGUUGGUGGGGUAACGGCCUACCAAGUCGACGAUCAGUAGCCGGACUGAGAGGUUGAACGGCCACAUUGGGACUGAGAUACGGCCCAGACUCCUACGGGAGGCAGCAGUCGGGAAUAUUGCGCAAUGGAGGAAACUCUGACGCAAUGACGCCGCGUAUAGGACGAAGGUCUUCGGAUUGUAAACUAUUGUCGUUAGGGAAGAGAAAGGACAGUACCUAAGGAGGAAGCUCCGGCUAACUACGUGCCAGCAGCCGCGGUAAUACGUAGGGAGCGAGCGUUAUCCGGAUUUAUUGGGUGUAAAGGGUGCGUAGACGGGAAGGUAAGUUAGUUGUGAAAUCCCUCGGCUCAACUGAGGAACUGCAACUAAAACUGUCUUUCUUGAGUGCUGGAGAGGGAAGCGGAAUUCCUAGUGUAGCGGUGAAAUGCGUAGAUAUUAGG